UUGUUUUAUAAGAAUCAGAUUCGGAUUCUCAUUUCACUCCAGAAUGAAAAUAAUCCAAUCUAUUUAUAGUCAAAUCCGGCUUUGUAAUCUGAUUGACCUAUUCCUAGAGUAACUUAGUCACGUCAAAGCCACUCUUAGAAAACACCUCUCGCCUCCUCUCCCUUCAUUACUCUUCCCUUCCUUAACCAAAACCCUCAGAAAAUCUCAUGUAUGUCAAUUAUUCAUUCUGAUUCGCAUUUCAAUACAAAAGACUACUUUUUUUUCUU
rnacentral:lncRNA from 1 species